CUCUGGCUGCAGCAUCACCUGACACGGGGUUCCUGUCUGAUACUGUAUCUAACUCAGCAAUCACUGCACAACUUACCGUCUUGCUACAUACAUUUUGGUGGCGGACCGUGGUCCGCGCCCGGGCUGAGUUCUGUGUCAGGUAGAGCUGCAUUCCUCAGGGGUGGGAGCAGGUGCCUCCACUUGGGUAGCUCCCAUGUGCGCCGAUGGGGGUCGGCAGUGACCUUGAUGCUUCCCGCUUGCAGGCCUUUGGCAUGGACCUCCCUUUGCAAAGAGAACAGGAAAUCCAACCAUGUCAAAAGGCAGAGGGUCGGGGUCUGCAUUAGCUUCUGCGGUGUUGAAUCGGUUUUUUUUUUCCUAAGUCAAUUUCACAUUUUGGUUCUAGCAUCUGAAUGUCCUUCUGGCUCGCAUUCUUCUAGCCGGCUGAGAGGUUGUCAGGAUCCUGGGUCAAGAGUGGUCCAGCAGGGACAGGUCCAUGGUGAGACUGGCUGUACUGCAUCUGGAGCAUCCUUCUGGUGGCAUCAAGGGAGACGCUCGUCCCAGGUGCGCCUCCAAAAGAAAAGAAAAAAAAAAUAACAAAGAAAGAAGCUUUGGGAAGAGACAGAGGAGUCAACGGCAGUAAGGGUUGCUGCGGGCAUUUGGACGUGACGUGGAGAUCGAGGCUUCUCUCUCCUUUGUGGAGGAAAGGAGGCUUUGGGGAGCAGAGAGGGAGAGUUGAGCUGGAUCUGGACACGGUUUCACAUCCCGGGAACUGUCGGCGUUUUGGACCAGAUCAUUCUGAGCCAUGGGGACUGUCCUGCGUUGUGGGGUGUGGAGCAGAUCCUUGGCCCCUGGUCACUAGAUGACAAGGAUGGCAGCCGCCUCUCUCCAGGCCGUAUCAAUAAAGGUGCCUCCAGGAGUUCCCUGGUGGCCUAG
rnacentral:lncRNA from 1 species